rnacentral:rRNA from 1 species
UACGUAGGGGGCAAGCGUUGUCCGGAUUUAUUGGGCGUAAAGAGCUCGUAGGUGGUUCGGUAAGUCGGAUGUGAAAUCUCCAGGCUCAACCUGGAGGUGUCAUUCGAUACUGCCGUGACUAGAGUUCGGUAGGGGAGUGUGGAAUUCCUGGUGGAGCGGUGAAAUGCGCAGAUAUCAGGAGGAACACCCGUAGCGAAGGCGGCACUCUGGGCCGAUACUGACACUGAGGAGCGAAAGCGUGGGGAGCGAACAGG